UCUCCGGUAGAAACCAUCUCAGACACAGGGGGAAGAUAGAAUCUCCUAGAGCUCCAUGAGGCAUGAGAACCUUGCUUCUGGGGCAGCAUUGCUGAGGCGGGGCAAUGACCAGAGGUUGGACCUUCAUGGAUCGACUCGGUCAAAGGUUGAACCUUUUGAGAGAAGCUUGAACUGAUAAUUCUGACUGGCUGAAAAGCACUGCCCUAAGUCUUUCAGGCAUUUCUGGAGUUAAUGGACUGCGUAUACCC